UAACGCUGAUGCCCAGAGGGACCCUGCAAGAUGUGGGCUGAAGACAACAGAAGCAUGACAGCUUGGAUCCCCGAAUGACUGUGUGGACCAGAGACUUCCACUGCCCCAUGGCACAAGCCCUACACUGCGCAUGACAGUGACCACGUCUGAGCCACCACAUUGGGUCCAUUUGUAGCUGCAGCUUACCUACUCUAAAGCACCACCUCUGGUAGCCAGGAUUCUGACUACGUGUUGGUUGAUGCUCGAACGGAUUUUUGAGCCACCAUCGAAUCAUUUCUGAGGUCCGUCCACCGAGAUCAAGUCCCAUAAAGCAGGGAAAUCAUUUCCAUUGAUGACGAAUAGGUUGCCUUUUUGUGUUACCUUCACUUGGACACAUCCCACUGGAAGUCCUGGCUUUCAAAGGAUCAUUUCAGGCCAUCGGUAACGGAUUAUGAACCGUAGUCCACGAAGGAGCAGGCUUGUUGGGAGACAGUUGUCGACUCUUCAGGACCUGCUCAGUAACACAAACAGUGUUCCCGCAGCCAGUUUUCAGCUACACAUACUGAGGCUGCCUCUACAGAAGUUCCCGAAAGGAGUCCAGACAGACGAGCGCUAACCUGCCUCAAUGGACAAAGAAAGAAGAGACUCCAGGACGGCAUCCAUUUCUGGGACGUGGUCGGUCCUCCGGAUGACAACUCAGCACGGACGAUACGUCUAUGGAAGCCCUGAUGGAUUCUGAGCAGAGGACUCCACUGUGCCUGAACUCCUCACCCACAGAAACCGUGAGACCACACGUGUGUGUUAGUUUAAGUCUGAGGUAAGGUACCGUCUCUGCCAGGGCAGGGAGUGCCAUUUGCUUGCUGCUACCUUCUUAGUUUGGUGGGUGGCCCUGCACACAAGGGGUACUAGUAAUGAUAGCUGAAAGGGCAUGACUGGUUGCAUGAUGAAGAGUAACUGUGACGAGGGAAGAAGGGAGAAGUCGUGGCCUGGAAAGUAAUAGCUUUGCAUUCUGGAAAGGACUUGGUGUUGUUGCUGAAUGUUUUCUGAAGCUGUGGCAAUCUCGAAGACAAACACAGUUCUAGCAUGAACUGAUUCAUGUUCGCCGAACAGGUUGGCACUCUGGACCUCGAAUACGAGGGUCAGAACCCCAUUUAUGCCACUUAUGAACCUUGAAGCUCUCCUCCCGUUGUAGCUUCCUUGGUCUCCAUCUCCUUAUUUGGAUGAUGCAGAUAAUAAUACUUCACAGGAACAGGAUUAAGCCAACUAUGCAAUGGAAAGGCAUCCCCCAAAGCACCUCAGGCCAUGUGGUUUGACUUCCUUCUUUUCUCCCGCAGCCAAUCCUCAACUAUGGUUCUCCUGAAAACAAAAUGAGUCUAGUACCUUCUAUUCCAUGCAUGUUAUGGAUUUUAUUCUUAUUAUUUUUAUUACUCAUGGAGAAAGGCAACAAACCAGAAGCUCCCUGAGCUGAGGGAGGUUCCAGAAGAUGAAGAUCUCUCUGUCUCCUUCUCUAUCCCUAGUGGCCUUCCAAAUUAUAAGGCACAGCAUUUUGCACAUAGGUUACAUUCAUUCAUGUAAUCAUCCAUCCAAUAAAUAUACAUUGAAAACAUCAUUUAUGCCAAGCAUAUAAAAUAGAAAAAUAACUAUAAUUCUUCAAAGAGAUCUGUAUGGUUCCAAGAGUUAAUGUUUUGCUUUGAUUUUCUGUAGCUGUAUCAGCAACAGAAUUCUGCAGCGUAAGAGAUGAUGGUCAGACCAGAGUGAGCCAGGAUGUUACCUUAAUUGAAGCAUCAUUCACACUUAUAAGAUGAACACUGUUUUAAUAGGUAAGACCCUAUCUUCCUACACCUAUAGGAAGAUCUGAAAGCAGAUGGUUUGCAUAUUUCUCAGUGAGAGACGGAGAUAGAGAAUCCCAAGCAGGCUCCGCACUGUCAGCACAGAGCCUGAUGUAGGGCUCAAACUCAUGAACCAUGAGAUCAUGACCUGAGCCAAAAUCAAGAGUCAGAUGCUUAACCAACUGAGCCACGUAGGUACCCCUUAAAGAAUUAUAUGUGAAUUCAACGGAUACCAUGGUUUUAAUUCAACUAAUACCAUGGUUUGCUCAAGAAGGAAAAUGAGAAACAUUCAUUUUUUUUUCUACAGAAGAAGGAAGGCAGAGUUCGGCCCACAAUGAAUUUACAUCAAAAAUAAAAAUUAAAUAUAAGUGGGAGUCUAAAAAGAACCCUUGACAAGAUAUAUGUAGGGACCUAUAACUCUAAACCAUUAGAAAAGACAAAUGUCAAACACUUGAACGUAUCUUUAUUCCCAUCUAUUUUUCAUUCUUAUCAAACUAAAUAGAUUUCAUUGAGUUAUUUAAUUCCAAUGACAAUAACACUGAGCAAACACAGAAGUCAUAAAUCACCUCUCUACUAACUGAAAUCGUAUAUUCACCAGAGUAUUUUAUGUAGAGUGUAAAGGAAAUUCACAAUUUGUUCACAUUCUCCACGACUGAAAAAUAGAAAAGGUGAAUCUUCUUCUUUGCGGCUCUCAGUGCACCUCUGGGGUCUUAGAGCCAUUGUUUUACCAGCACAUUCUGAUUCCAUUAAUGACUUAAGUCCACAGUACAAGGUGCUUUUGAAUCCAUUUGAAUGGCAAUUUGAGAUUUCAUUGUUGUAAUAAGAUGCCUCUGUGUACUUUCCUUUCAUAAAAGUGGAAAGAAAGGAAGGCUUUUUGAAACAAAAUGAACAAUGGAGAGAGCAGGCGGACGUUAAUCUUGACUUCCAAGCUGUACCGAAUCCCCGAGUUCCAGAAUCAACACUGACGGCUCUCAGAGAGUGGGCUUGAAGAAUGUGGCUUCUUGCAGAAUUCUCCAGAUCCUCAGUUGGAGGGCUUUCCUGCAGCAAUCUGAUGUAUUCUGUGAACCUAGCUCCCAUCUACCACACCCCCAAAACUAUGAGCUCACUGCCUCUCUCUCUCUGUUUUUUUUUUUUUUUUUUUUUACUUUCUUGGAGAAUCUGGGCUGUAGAAAAACCAGUAAAAACAUUUACAUCUCACUGUUGGAGCGCUCGAUGUUGAAACACUCAUUUUACAACUCAACCCACUGCUUAAAUUGCACUGUGAAGAUUGCAGAGAUUAAAUUAUAACUCCCAGGAGCAUCCACAGUCUAGAACUUAAUGAAGGAGAAGGGUCCAUUGAGAUAUAUAUCUUUUAUAUUGCUUCUAGCCAAAACAGCUCAUGGCCGAUCCAUCUAGAAGUUCUUAAAAAAAAAAAAAAAAAAAAAAAAAAAAGCAAGAGUAUAAUGGCACAGGGAGUUACAUAAUUCUGCAGGUUAUUUUUAGAAUCAUUUCCAUGCUGUGAAAAAUACCGGAGGAGAGACUUCCAUUAAUAAUGUGUGUCUAGCUACCUAGGAACACACUGAACGUUCUGAGCGGUGGGGUGUGCUUCUAUGGACCUCCCAGAAAAGCCUUGCAGAAGACUGUCCUUUCUGCAGCAUUUCAUGUCGGACAGUGCAUGGCAAAAGUCAUAUGGUUUUCAUCCCCUCCUUUUAGGCGUGGGAGUCAUCGCAAAAAGGAGGGGGCUGAUUCAGGCUGCCAAUAGUUGCCCAAAGCCUUUCUCCUCACCAAUUCUGCACUGACAGCGUCUCUCUUUUCCUGCAUCCAUACCAAACCGAUAUUGCUCCGCACCUGUCUUUCAUUCAGUCUUCCCAAGAUAAGGUAGAGAAUCUAUAAAUAUCACCACAGUUUCACAUUUCACUUUGUCCUUAGGGUAUCUUUCCCCCCACAAAGCCUGCUUUCUUUUGAGAAGAGCCUGAUUUCUCCCCGAGCCAGGAGGCAUGAGCUAAUCAACAGAGUUGUUCCACGGUCACCGUGCCUUUUAGGACGUUGCGGGAAACACACAACCACAACUGCCAGGUUCAGUGUUUGCUAGCGGUUGCAGGGACAUGAACUGCACCGCCACAGAUGGAGAUGUGCACAGGGUCUCCCAGUGCAGGUAAUAAGCAGGAACGGAAAGGACACUGGGAAACUCCACAAUAUCUUUAUGGUGAAUGCUUCCCUCCCCUGAUUCCAGAGACCAAAGCAACAUAGCUCAGUAGGGCUGAGACUAGGGAUGUCAGACAAACUUUCUUCUUUCUCUGGGUAUGCAAACUUUGGGGUUCACAGGGGUGGAGAGGAAGCAGCUCAGCCCCUGCCGAUGUCUGCAUCAAGGGGCCCAGCCAAUGCAGAGUGACUUUAAGACUGCCUUGCUCACUCCCACGUCUGGGUAUAUAUCCAAAGGAAAUGCAGUCAGGAUCCCAAAGAGACACCUGCACCCCCGAGUUCAUUGCAGCAUUAGUCACAAUAGCCAACAGUUGGGAACACCCCGAAAGUCCACAGACAGAUGAGUGGAUAAAGAAGAUGUGGUGUUUAUCCAUACGAUGGGAUAUUAAUCCACCUUACAAAGAAAGAAAUCCUGCCAUUUAUGACAGCAUGGAUGAACUUGGAGGACAUUAUGCUCAGUGACAUAAGCCAGACACAGAAAGACAAAUACUGCACGAUCUUCCUUUCAUGUGGCAUCUAAAAGAGCCUCACAGGAAGAGCAGGUAGAAUGGUGGAGAAUAUAUAGUUUAUUUAUUUUUAGAGAGAGAGAGUUAGAGAAAGAGCACGAGGAGGGGAAGGGCAGA